rnacentral:rRNA from 1 species
AACGAACGCUGGCGGCAUGCCUAACACAUGCAAGUCGAACGAUACCUUCGGGUCUAGUGGCGCCCGGGUGCGUAACGCGUGGGAACCUGCCCUUAGGUUCGGAAUAACUCCCCGAAAGGGGUGCUAAUACCGGAUAAUGUCUUCGGCCCAAAGAUUUAUCGCCUUUGGAUGGGCCCGCGUUGGAUUAGCUAGUUGGUAGGGUAAAAGCCUACCAAGGCGACGAUCCAUAGCUGGUCUGAGAGGAUGAUCAGCCACACUGGGACUGAGACACGGCCCAGACUCCUACGGGAGGCAGCAGUGGGGAAUAUUGGACAAUGGGCGAAAGCCUGAUCCAGCAAGGCCGCGUGAGUGAUGAAGGCCUUAGGGUUGUAAAGCUCUUUUACCCGGGAUGAUAAGGACAGGACCGGGAGAAGAAGCUCCGGCUAACUCCGU